rnacentral:rRNA from 1 species
GGGUGCGAUCAUACCAGCACUAAUGCACCGGAUCCCAUCAGAACUCCGAAGUUAAGCGUGCUUGGGUGAGAGUAGUACUAGGAUGGGUGACUUACUUGGAAUACCUCGCGUUGCCCCCA